AGUGGCGACCGGGUGAGUAACACGUGCCUAUUCUACGCUUCGAGUGGGGGAUAACCUCGGGAAACCGGGGCUAAUACCGCAUAACAUCGAGAGAUCAAAGGAGCAAUUCGCUUGAAGAGGGGGUCGCGGCUGAUUAGUUAGUUGGCGGGGUAACGGCCCACCAAGACGAUGAUCGGUAGCCGGCCUGGGAGGGCGCACGGCCACACUGGAACUGAAACACGGUCCAGACUCCUACGGGAGGCAGCAGUGGGGAAUUUUGCGCAAUGGGGGAAACCCUGACGCAGCAACGCCGCGUGGAGGAUGAAGUCCCUUGGGACGUAAACUCCUUUCGACCGGGAAGAUAAUGACGGUACCGGUGGAAGAAGCCCCGGCUAACUUCGUGCCAGCAGCCGCGGUAAUACGAGGGGGGCAAGCGUUGUUCGGAAUUAUUGGGCGUAAAGGGCGCGUAGGCGGUGCGGUAAGUCACCUGUGAAAUCUCCGGGCUCAACUCGGAGCCUGCAGGCGA
rnacentral:rRNA from 1 species